rnacentral:lncRNA from 1 species
UGGAGCAGCUACUGAAACAAUCAGGAAGUUGAGGCCUGAGGAACUCUGAAGCCAGGAGCUUCCUCAGCCCCUCUGCUGCUGGAUGGAGGUGCUGCCAGUCAGGGGCCCAUCUUCAGGACACUGGCACAGGGACCUCCUCAGGCCGGGCCCCUUGUACAGCGGACUCCUUUCUGCUUUGUCUAUGAAGAUCUGGCCACGUUGAGCUCCACUCCAUUCUGCUUUGUCUACGAAGAUCUGGUCACAUGGAGCUCCACUCCAUUUACUUUUUCGUUGCAUUCUCUUCUCAGUGUGGUUGCUUUUGAUCCCCCACUUUCGUAACCCACAUAGCCAAUAUUUUCCCAGUGAAUCCCAUAAUAUUCUGGGUGACAGACUGAGGCUUACUCCCUAACCAAAGACCUCUGAGAGCACAGAUGGAGAGGCGUGACUAUGAUCUGGGGCAGGGCCUCACCAUCCUUUUCCAGAGCCUCACCCCCUGUGCCCAAGAUGGACAUGGG